rnacentral:lncRNA from 1 species
AAAAAUGACCCAACAAAUUUUUCGCAAACUAAGGCUCCUUAGCAUUGCCCAAGAGGAGCCAACCAAGUCCCAAGUAGUCCAAAGACCCAAGGAAGAGGAACCAGUUCACGCCAAGCCUAUGACACGCCAAUGUGCAGGAGACUAGCGUGUGCGGCCCUGUCAUGACAUGGGCGCGCGCGCGCGCAAGGGCGGCAGGCAGACAAGCGGACGCGCACGGCAGAUGGGCGCGUGCGGCAUGGACGUGCGCGCAAGGCCAGUCGGACGCGCGCGCUACACUAGCGCGCGCGGGAAGCGGACACGGAGCGCACGGAGCGCGCGGAGAAGCAUCCGGGAACCUCUCGAAGGUUCCAGAAGAAUCGCGAGCGGCCGAGAAGGCUCGCGAACACGCGCGAAAGCGUGCGCGCGCCAGACGGCCCCAGACGCCUUCAGAAGCUUCUGGACAGUGUCAUGAGCGCUCGGGAAUUUUCCAGAUUGCAUUUGCCGACCUUGUAAGGCGGUUUAGGGCUUGUUAAUAGGUUGUAUACUUCUAUAAAUAUCCCAAAGGGGUCCAUUUGUACAGACAACACAGAAUCCUUGGGAAUUCAUCAACAAAGCUCUCUUAAGCAUUUUAUCAAACACCUUGUCUACAACUCUUUGCCUACUUCUUACCUACGAAUUUCCUUCUUCCUUAGUUUGUUCCAACAAGUCCAAUUACUCUUAGGCUUACAUUGGUGCAACCCCAACACCUUUGUGCCGCACGUUGGUUUUGUGAUUAAAAUAACCACGUGACAGGUGGUAUCAGAGCGUGUUCGUUCAAAGGGACAUACUCUUGAUCGUUGCUAUCAAGUGCACGAUACCGAGAGACCAAGAUUCAAGACUCUAGUUCUUGAAACGUUGUCAAAGUAACGGAACACAGUUUCUACACCCACUUAAUCCCUAGUUGACUUGUGAACAAGAUGUCCAGCGAAGAAGGCCACAUUUCAGCCCAAGCUGAGCAAGUUCUUGAAGGACCUAUCACACGAGGUAGGAAGGACCGACGAUCCCCGACCCGACGAUCGAAAUCUAAGGGUCCGGAUGCAAGGGAGCAUGUCGAAACUCGCCUUGCCAACCUUGAGCAAAGUCUCGAGGAUGUCCAGCACACGGUAGAAGAGUUGGGUGAUAACUACGAAGAGCUUAUUCAGGAGAAUGUGGAAAUCUCCGCAGCAACCAAGGAGCUCGUGGCCGACCUUGGAAAAACAUUCCAAAAGGAUUUGAAAGAGUUGUCAUCAACCGUAACCACUUUGAAGACAUUUGUUGAAGGUGAGUUACGCGAACUCUAUUCUAGGUAUAUUUCCCUAGAUGCAAAGGUAGAUACUCUUUGCAUGGAAUGUCGUUCCAAGCACUUUGGUGGAGACGGUCCAUCCACCAGUACACACACCGCUGUGCAAGGCACUACUCACAUAAAAGUGCCGAAACCUGACACAUACAAUGGGGUGAGGAAUGCCACGGUUGUGGAAAACUUCCUCUUUGGCCUUGACCGAUACUAUGUAGCUGUCGGUGUUCGAGAUGAUGAGGCCAAGAUAAACAAUGCCCCGACAUUCCUAAGGGAUGCCGCACAACUUUGGUGGCGUCGAAGAUACGCUGACCAAAAUGGGAAUGCCAUCCAGACGUGGGAACAAUUCAAAGCCGAACUAAGAAAGCACUUCGUUCCCCACAAUGCUGAAAUGGAGUCAAGAGCCAAACUUCGAAGUCUAAGACACACAGGUAACAUUCUCGACUAUGUGAAGGAAUUUACCACUAUUAUGCUUGAAAUUAGUGAUCUGCCCGAGAAGGAAGCCCUAUUCCAAUUUAGAGAUGGAUUGAAAGAUUGGGCCAAGGUUGAGCUAGACCGUCGCAAUGUCCAAACAUUGGACGACGCUAUAGCCGCAGCUGAGAUGCUUAUCGAUUAUACAACCCAAUCAAAGGAGAGAAAACCUAGCCCAAGUAAACGUGAAGGCAAUCACUACAAGCAUAGAGACUCCGAGCAAAAGGAAAAGGGAAAGAAGGCAUUCCAAAGACAUGGCAAGUAUCACAAAACUCAACAAGGUGAGUCGUCCAAACCUUCUCCCUGUUUUGUUUGUAAUGGCCCUCAUCGGACAAGAGACUGUCCGAAUAGAAAAGCAAUGAAUGCACUUGUUGCCAAAUUGCUCGAGUCCAAGCAAGGAGAUGAUACACCACAGAUUGGUUCCUUGCAACACAUUGGAGCUCUGAAACAGGCCAAUCAAACAACUAAAGGAGGCCUACUCCAUGGAAAUGUAAAGAUAAACGGGAGAGAGGCUAUUGCCAUGUUUGACACCGGUGCGAGUCAUAACUUCAUGAACGUGAAUGAGGCUAAGAGAAUAGGCCUCAAGUUCACAAACGAAGAGGGGACUGUCAAGGCGGUAAACUCAGAAGCACAAGCCAUCAAAGGUGUAGCAAGAGGUGUAACAGUCAAGAUCGGUGAUUGGCAAGGUAAGCUCGACUUCACCGUGCUACCUAUGGAUGACUUUGACAUUGUGCUUGGCUUAGGGUUCUUCGAUAGAGUAAUUGCUAUCGUUGACUCCUCCGGAUGUACCCUGACGAUAGUGGAUGGUCAAAUAACGACCAUCCCACUAAAGAAGGGAAAACCAACAAUCAGAUUGUCAGCCAUGCUAAAUAAGGAGGGAGUCGCCGAAACCCAACAUCAAACAGUACCGUCGAGAGAGACAAAUUCUAAACCAACAGUCCCAACAGAACACAAGGACGUUAUGCUCGAGGCAAAGUCAGGAAACGCCGAUGCAGUCAAUAACGUCGUAAGCCAGAAGGCAAAACUGGCUGCUAUAACCACCAGCAUGUCCAGAAGUGACUUCCUUAACAGAAUCAAGGAACGGCACGAAGAAUGUGAUAUAUCAAGGGCAUGCCUGGCGAAGGCCGCCACUAAAAUGAAAAAGUGGGCGGACCGGAAAAGGAGGGCUAGAGAGUACCAAGUAGGGGAAAAAGUAAUGGUAAAGCUGCUACCAAACCAAUUUAAAUCCCUACGCAAGGUACAUAAAGGCCUAAUCCGAAGAUACGAAGGACCCUUCUCUAUCAUUGAGAAAGUGGGCAAAGCAGCUUAUCGAUUGGAACUUCCUCCCAGACUGAAGAUCCAUAAUGUCUUCCAUGUGAGCAUGUUGAAGCCUUUCUAUGAAGACAAGGAGGAUCCAAGCAGAGGUGAGUCCUCUCGUGCACCUACCGGCAUGAUCUCAGAGUUCGACAGGAAAAUCAAGGAGAUCUUAGCGGAGAGGAAGAUACGAAGGAGAGGAGUUCCCAGUUAUAACGAAUAUUUGAUUGCUUGGGAAGGACUACCCGAAAGCGAAGCAAGUUGGGAAAAGGAAGACACCCUAUGGCAAUUUCAAGAUGAAAUCAGAAGAUUUCAAGAAAGCGCAACGGGGACGUUGCGAAAUCGAGUGGGGGAGGGUGUCACGCCCCAAAAAUGACCCAACAAAUUUUUCGCAAAUUAAGGCUCCUUAGCAUUGCCCAAGAGGAGCCAACCAAGUCCCAAGCAGUCCAAAGACCCAAGGAAGAGGAACCAGUUCACGCCAAGCCUAUGACACGCCAAUGUGCAGG